rnacentral:rRNA from 1 species
GAACGCUAGCGGCAUGCUUAACACAUGCAAGUCGAACGGUAACGCGGAGAGCUUGCUCUCUGGCGACGAGUGGCGGACGGGUGAGUAAUACUUAGGAAUCUGCCCAGUAGUGGGGGACAACAUUCGGAAACGGAUGCUAAUACCGCAUACGCACUACGGUGGAAAGCGGGGGAUCUUCGGACCUCGCGCUAUUGGAUGAGCCUAAGUCGGAUUAGGUUUGUUGGUGAGGUAAUGGCUCACCAAGGCGACGAUCCGUAGCUGGUCUGAGAGGACGAUCAGCCACACUGGGACUGAGACACGGCCCAGACUCCUACGGGAGGCAGCAGUGGGGAAUAUUGGACAAUGGGCGCAAGCCUGAUCCAGCAAUGCCGCGUGUGUGAAGAAGGCCUGCGGGUUGUAAAGCACUUUCAGUAGAGAAGAAAAGCUUACGGUUAAUACCUGUGAGUCUUGACGUAACCUACAGAAGAAGCACCGGCUAACUCCGUG